UGAUUGUAACCUGAAUGGUAGCUUCCUUC
rnacentral:piRNA from 1 species